rnacentral:rRNA from 1 species
AUUGAACGCUGGCGGCAUGCCUUACACAUGCAAGUCGAACGGCAGCACGGGGGCAACCCUGGUGGCGAGUGGCGAACGGGUGAGUAAUGCAUCGGAACGUGCCCAGUAGUGGGGGAUAACCAGUCGAAAGACUGGCUAAUACCGCAUACGACCUACGGGUGAAAGCGGGGGACCGUAAGGCCUCGCGCUAUUGGAGCGGCCGAUGUCUGAUUAGCUAGUUGGCGGGGUAAGAGCCCACCAAGGCGACGAUCAGUAGCUGGUCUGAGAGGACGACCAGCCACACUGGGACUGAGACACGGCCCAGACUCCUACGGGAGGCAGCAGUGGGGAAUUUUGGACAAUGGGCGCAAGCCUGAUCCAGCCAUGCCGCGUGCGGGAAGAAGGCCUUCGGGUUGUAAACCGCUUUUGGCAGGAACGAAACGGCGCAAGCCAAUACCUUGCGCUAAUGACGGUACCUGCAGAAUAAGCACCGGCUAACUACGUGCCAGCAGCCGCGGUAAAAC